GGUUUGUUGCAAUGAGUUGAGAAAGUAACUGGGAUAAUGGCAUCGGCACAGGGUCAAAUCUCCUCUUUCCCUUCUGUUCAAUCCCCGUGGUGAACACUAGAAGAGUCAGCAAUCGGGUCUUUCGUAGAAACCCCUGCCUAAGUCCAAGUUCUUUCUGAGUCCUAAGACUCGGAUUCGUACUAUUAGUUCAAUAAAAGCAAUUACCAAUAUUUGUCAUACCAAUGAUAUUGGUAAG
rnacentral:lncRNA from 1 species